rnacentral:rRNA from 1 species
GACAGAGGGGGCAAGCGUUGCUCGGAAUCGCUGGGCGUAAAGGGCGCGUAGGCGGGAUGGCAAGUCAGUCGUGAAAUCUCUCGGCUCAACCGAGAAACGUCGGCUGAUACUGCCGUUCUUGAGGGAUGCAGAGGAGACUGGAAUUCCCGGUGUAGCGGUGAAAUGUGUAGAGAUCGGGAGGAACACCGGUGGCGAAGGCGGGUCUCUGGGCAUCUCCUGACGCUGAGGCGCGAAAGCGUGGGGAGCAAACGGG